CUAGUGUAGACAUUGGUAUAUUUUGUCGGGCUAACCCCUGUGUAGAAAAACUUUCAAUAUCGAUUUGGGAAGUCCUAAGAUAAACUCACAUUGGAGACAAGGAGAGAGACACAUGAAGUUUAACAAUUUGCACAAGAAGGACAUAGCUCAUUCAUCAUAGAGAGAUGAUCCAUGGAGGGUGCCACAAACACGAUACACAACCACUACGAAUGGGAAGAUUCCACAAGGUAAGAUGGUACCAUCACUCUUCAAUUAAGGUAACGUCUUAAGAUAUGUGACUAUCCCUUUUAUAAGCUCCUCCUUGGUUCUAGCGUUCACAUAAAUAAAGAGACAAACAUGUACGAUUUAUAACUCCAAAUUAACCAACCCAACUGAUUCAACAUGUUUAGUCCUUUAAUUUUUGUUCCUAGUACUACCACCAUGAUCCCACACUCCUAACCAUAUGAGCUAAAAAUGUUUCACACUCAAUCUUUGGAAGAUAUAUAAGAAAAAAACAUAUACAUAGAUAGAUUAUUUUCCCAUAAGGUUAAGCGACCUGAUCUGACAAAUGUUAUAAGUGCUACACUCAUGAACUUAUCACCCAUCAACUUUGCCUUGCUCCCUAUGCUUAAGGAUAGAGAAGAAUAAAUAUACUUUUGGUUCUGUUGGUGUUUUCCACCAACAGGGCCCAUACACUUGAUCUCUGCCUUGUCUCUAUGAGCAGGUACACUUCGAGCAAAACAUGGAGGAGUUUUAUAACUCUCAGACUCUACCAAGUGACCUGGAUCUACGAGCACAAACACAUUGAGUAGGAUGCUGCCAACGCCGCACAUCGAACUAUUGGGCAAACGAAGAACAUGGGUGACACCGUAUCAAGAGGUGCAGACGUCAAGGUCCACACCUGAAUCAAAUGACGCACCUAAAGAAUGAACACAGUGAGAAGUCUUGUCCAGAAGACAUAAAACAUUGAACCCUCACUGAAAGGUAAAAUCGGUAGUUAUCCAUAUUUAUCCUUUCUACAUUCCCUUUUCCGUUUAAUUAUUUACUUUUCUUAAAUGGCUUGUUAGUCAAUCAUGCUAUCUUGAAAAAAAAUAAAAAUGUUAGUAAGCCCCAUAUGAGUAUGCUCGUGGCAUAAAACCCAUAGGUACAUUCACUAUGGUGGCAUAAAAUAAAUAUGUUUUCAUACUAUAGAAAUAAAAAUAUAAAAAUAAAUUUAUGAUCCUACCAAAGAAGAGUAAUAUUUAUUAGAGGAAGCUCAAUAUGAUAAAGGCUAGAUAUUUAUGCUAACACUUAACCAGUUCCACAAAGCUUUGUUGUCUAUUUGAGCUCCACAGAAUUCAAGGAUCAAAGAAGACUAGCAAACGGAGGACAUCCUAAUCGCUGGCAGGGUGCUGCCGACAUUCAAAUAUACCUCCGUCACCUGCUAGCUACAUCAGAAGAAAUUACAACAAAAUCCAGCUUGGGGGAGAGCACCCCCAUUUAUCCAGCUAAGUGUCUCUACUUGUGUUUUUACUUUACUCAAAUAAUAAAAAGAUGCAUAAUCAUAAAAAACCAAAUAAAGAUUUUAUGCUUAUAUAUAUAUCUAUGCGUAGUUUGCUAAAUAAAUAAAUAAAUAAAGUUUGCUAUGAACCCUCAUGAUAAGCUCUCACAUGGAAAUGAUGAAUAGUUGCGCUGCCUAGUUCUCAAAAUUGAAUUUUCUCUCAAGUUUAGGUAUGACUGUUAUGAAUUAAGAUUUGCUCUAAACCUAAACUUGUGGGAAGAGUACUUGAUCUAAAGUCUAAGUCGUUAAUAGAUAUGAUAUGGGAAGGUUGAGUUGCUAUUUAUCUGUUCCUAGAGAUGCUAGAAUUCUGGAGAAUUUUAUCUUUGAAAAUCUUUAAAAAUUUGCAUGAUGAGUUCCUGUAUGAUGAGAGUUUAAAAUCCUACCACAGCCAUAUAUACAUGCUUGCUAGACUAUGAACCAUACAUUUACUUUUUACUGCUUAUGAUCAUUGAGUGUGGUCAAGCUGUGUAGACCCUUAGGAGCUUGUCAUGCGGUUAAAAUCAAGAUUCACUUGCACGUUCACUCAUACAUGCUGCUUCUACUCCGGAAGUACCAUCCACAUACAUCCACCCAUUUCCAUCUCCAGAACCACCUAAAAUUAUUCUACUCCUAUCCAGAAGAGAAUAGCCAAAAACAUUGUCCUAUCCAUGUUAUUCCCCGUGAAAUAAAUGCUCUUGAUAUUUUGGUUACUACCACUUGCUACACUAUUCUAGGAGGGUGAGUGCUCUGAAAAAAGAAAAAAAAUAGGAAAAGAACGAGGUAAUAAAAAGGGGCAAGUGCCCGAAACCUCGAAGAAAAGAAAAAGUGAGACGGGAGGUAAAAAUGGACAAGUGUCCGACAGUAGAAUUAGGGGUACAAGAUACCCACCUGAGAGAAAAGAAAGAGAAAAUAUAGAGCAUCUCAUUCCCCUCAAAAAGCUUCAAAGUGCAAGAAAGGUAUGUAUCCCCUCAAAAGAGCAAAAGUAGAAUUAGACUUUCACCAUUGUUUUCACCAUUAUCACCAUCAUCACCAUACACCAUUCAUUCACCACACAUGCACAUCUUGAUUUGAUUUAUUGACUUGUUUCUCUGGAUCCAUGGUUUGACUAUGCAAUAAAUGUCUUGUAAGUAUGUAUUAGCUGUCUCCCACCUAUGAGCUCCAGAUAUCAAACCUUAUUAGAGUAUGGUGAGAGAGAAGGCAAUAUCACUAUGCCUCAUACCACAAAUACUACAUACUUUGAGAGAAGGCGUAUAUCAUCACUGCCUUGGUAAGGAUCCAGAAAUACCACAAAAGAGAGAUUUGAGAGAGUCAUACAAGGAAUCUCUGAGUUUUAUUUUGAAAAUCUACAAAAACUCCAGAGCUAUAGUUGAUCAAAGAAUAAGAGACAUGGUUCUUGACUUGACCGUUCUAUCUUUUAACUGCUCAAGACACAAGUGACGGUUGCAAGCCCCAUGGUGGAAGGUAAUAUGAGUAAUUUUAAAUCUUAACAGUUUACCGUAACCCAGAGAUGAGAUUUUGUUUGAACGCAUGUGUACCUUUGUUGACGGUAUUUAUACCAUGUUUUCUACUAUCAUAACCGUCAACAUAAGACUCAUUUUGGGAGAAAACAACCAAACAAAGUAGUAAUAUAGGUACAUAUAACCUAGUUCCACAUGUACAUGCUACUAUUUGGUUGCAGGAGUAAGAACAGGUACUUUUCAAGGGUCCAAACACUAAGAAGGGGUGAAUAACUAAAGAUCAGUGACACCAGUAACCAAGACAACAUUAUAGUCAUGAAGAGGAAGACAUGUAGGACAGGGCUGACACCCUAACCCCAUAGAAUUGGGGUCGGGCGACCCCACUUUGGUGGGUCCCACAGGUCAGCUCAACUCCACCGACAUCAGAGAGCCUCCAGGACACUGCAGGUGGGCCCAACCAGCCAGAUAGGGGGUCGGCCGACCCCACUUCAUGGCGGUUCCAGGGUCGGUUGGCCUCCCACCGACCUUGCCCACAUGUUGCACAUGUUAGUUUGCCUCUACCGUUGAUCAGAUGGCGGUUGUGAAGUCGGUUUGAUCCAAUGGUGCAUGAUGAAGAUGACGCGGAUCGCUGACGUGGCACCGGAGUAGCCCCUACUCCAUCUCCCACUAUAAAUACCCCCCCUAUUCCUUCACUUAAAUGUCAUGUAUCUUAGGAGUAAACUACUUUAGUAGCUUAGUGCUAUCAUAGUGAG
rnacentral:lncRNA from 1 species